GAUUAACGCUAGCGGCAGGCAUAAUACAUGCAAGUUGAACGGCAGCACAGGUAGCAAUACUGGGUGGCGAGUGGCGCACGGGUGUGUAACACGUAUGCAACCUACCCUAUACAGGCGAAUAACCUUUAGAAAUGAGGGCUAAUACGCCGUAGUAUUACAGAUGGGCAUCUAUUUGUAAUUAAAGAUUUAUCGGUAUAGGAUGGGCAUGCGUCCCAUUAGUUAGUUGGUAAGGUAACGGCUUACCAAGACGAUGAUGGGUAGGGGAUCUGAGAGGACUUACCCCCACACUGGUACUGAGACACGGACCAGACUCCUACGGGAGGCAGCAGUAAGGAAUAUUGGGCAAUGGCCGCGAGGCUGACCCAGCCAUGCCGCGUGCAGGAAGACGGCCUUAUGGGUUGUAAACUGCUUUUAUACGGGAAUAAUAGAGUGUACGCGUACAUUUAUGCAAGUAUCGUAUGAAUAAGCAUCGGCUAACUCCGUG
rnacentral:rRNA from 1 species